GAGUUUGAUCGUGGCUCAGAACGAACGCUGGCGGCAUGCCUAACACAUGCAAGUCGAACGGGAUCCAGGCUUCGGCCUGGUGAGAGUGGCGGACGGGUGAGUAACGCGUGGGAACCUGCCCAAUGGUCUGGGAUAACCGCGGGAAACUGCGGCUAAUACCGGAUAAGCCCGAGAGGGGAAAGAUUUAUCGCCGAUGGAGGGGCCCGCGUCCGAUUAGGUAGUUGGUGAGGUAACGGCUCACCAAGCCUUCGAUCGGUAGCUGGUCUGAGAGGAUGAUCAGCCACACUGGGACUGAGAUACGGCCCAGACUCCUACGGGAGGCAGCAGUGGGGAAUAUUGGACAAUGGGGGCAACCCUGAUCCAGCAAUGCCGCGUGAGUGAUGAAGGCCUUAGGGUUGUAAAGCUCUUUUGCCGGGGACGAUGAUGACGGUACCCGGAGAAUAAGCCCCGGCUAACUUCGUGCCAGCAGCCGCGGU
rnacentral:rRNA from 1 species